GUGCCCCUUUCAGCAGUACAUGUAGUAAAAUUGGAACAAUACACACAAGAUUAGCAUGGCCCUACUGUAAGCACGACAGGCAAAUUUGUGAAGUGUUCCAUAUUUUU